CCUACGGGUGGCAGCAGUGGGGAAUAUUGGGCAAUGGGCGCAAGCCUGACCCAGCAACGCCGCGUGAAUGAAGAAGGCUUUCGGGUUGUAAACUUCUUUUAUCAGGGACGAAGCAAGUGACGGUACCUGAUGAAUAAGCCCCGGCUAACUACGUGCCAGCAGCCGCGGUAAUACGUAGGUGGCAAGCGUUAUCCGGAUUUACUGGGUGUAAAGGGCGCGUAGGCGGGGGUGCAAGUCAGAAGUGAAAACUAGGGGCCCAACCCCUGGACUGCAUUGGAAACUGUACGGCUGGAGUGCAGGAGAGGCAAGUGGAAUUCCGUGUGUAGCGGUGAAAUGCGUAGAUAUACGGAGGAACACCAGUGGCGAAGGCGGAUUACUGGACUGUAACUGACGCUGAGGCUCGAAAGCGUGGGGAGCAAACAGGAUUAGAUACCCCGGUAGUC
rnacentral:rRNA from 1 species